rnacentral:rRNA from 1 species
UNAGAAGUUUGAUUCUUGUUUCAGGACGAACCGUGGCGGCGUGCUAACACAUCUUUUUUGAGCGGUAACGCCUUUCGAGGUACGCGAAGGGCGAACGGGAGAGUAACACGUGGGCUGUUCUGCCCUGCACUGCGGGAUAAGCAUAAAAAAGGGGAUUUUACUCCCGGAUAUGACCUCCUAUCGCAUGGGGGGAGGUGGAAAGAUUUUUUCGGUGCAGGAUGGGGCCCGCAGGCCUAUCAGCUUGUUGAUGGGGUAAUGCCCUACCAAGGUGAGGGCGGGUAGCCGACCUGAGGAGGGUGACCGGCCACAUGGGAGUGAGACACGGCCCAGACUCCUACGGGAGGCAGCAGUGGGGAAUAUUGCACAAUGGGCGAAAGCCUGAGGCAGCGACGCCGCGUGAGGGAUGACGGCAUUCGGGUUGUAAACUUCUUUCAGCAGGGAUGAAGCGCAGGUGACGGUACCUGCAGAAGAAGCGCCGGCUAACUACGUGCCAGCAGCCGCGGUAAUACGUAGGGUGCAAGCGUUGUCCGGAAUUAAAGGGCGUAAAGAGUUCGUAGGCGGUUUGUCGCGUCGUUUGUGAAAACCAGCAGCUCAACUGAUGGCUUGCAGGCGAUACGGGCAGACUUGAGUACUGCAGGGGAGACUGGAAUUCCUGGUGUAGCGGUGAAAUGAGCAGAUAUCAGGAGGAACACCGGUGGGGAAGGCGGGUCUCUGGGCAGUAACUGACGCUGAGGAACGAAAGCAUGGGUAGCGAACAGGAUUAGAUACCCUGGUAGUCCACCCCGUAAACGGUGGGCGGUAGGAGUGGGUUCCUUCCACGGAAUCCGUGCCGUAG